GAUGAACGCUGGCGGCGUGCCUAAAACAUGCAAGUCGAAUGCGCUUCGGGCGCAUGGCGAACUGGUGAGUAACACAUUGGAAUCUGCCCUUAUCUCAGGGAUAACCCAUCGAAAGGUGGGAUAAUACCUGAUAGUCCGUGCUUGCACGGUAAAACUCCGGUGGAUAAGGAGGAUCCUAUGUCCUAUCAGCUUGUUGGUGGGGUAAUGGCCUACCAAGGCUACGACGGGCAGCUGUCUGAGAGGAUGAUCAGCCACAGUGGGACUGCGAUACGGCCCAGACUCCUACGGGAGGCAGCAGUUAGGAAUAUUGCACAAUGGACGAAAGUCUGAUGCAGCAACGCCGCGUGAAGGAUGACGGCCUUCGGGUUGUAAACUUCUUUUAUCAGGGAAGAUUAUGACGGUACCUGAUGAAUAAGCUCCGGCUAACUACGUGCCAGCCGCCGCCGUAA
rnacentral:rRNA from 1 species